CUCCUGGCAGUGGGGAAUCACAAAGGGGACGCUACUGAUCUGGCGCUGAAGGGAAAAUUUCCACACGAUGAGAUAGCUAACAAAAAUCUGCAGAGGUGGCACUGAGUUAGCCUCAAGAUGAUAACAGCAAGAGGAACUGCAAAAAUGUCUGGAAACACUCUAAGCCUCAUUAGAUCUGAAGAGAAGAGAAACGUGAGGGAAGAACAGGCGGUGGCAGUCAGAAGAGAGUGGGUGGAACAGUCCCUGCAACUCUUCAGAGAAAAGAAAGGGGCGCUGGCCCAGGCCCAAGAAGGGUCCCUGGGGGCUGAUGUCGGCAGGAAUCCCCGCAUCUCCACAUGCGGAACUGAGAGAAGUGCCUGGCAGAUUCAAUCAUACAGUGACUCAAAUGUCACAGCAUGACUAUAGAGAAAGAAUAAUAGUGGAAGCAUCCCGGCCAAUUUUCAACAGAAGGGCUCAGGAUAAGGAAGCUUAAGAAAAUUGCCGAAGAGAAUGAUAAUGACAAUAAUAAAAACAA
rnacentral:lncRNA from 1 species